AACGCACAUUGCGCCCUUUGGCAUUCCGAGGGGCAUGCCCGUUCGAGCGUCAUUACACCCCUCAAGCCUGGCUUGGUAUUGGGCACACCGCGGGGACACCCCUCUCUGGGGACCCGGGCCCAGAUGUGACUCGGCUGGACGGUCGGAAUCUCAGCGUUGUAAACACCAAAGCCGCUGUGGGACCGGCCCGGACGUCGCCGUUUAAACCUCCAUCACAGGUUGACCUCGGAUCGGGUAGGGAUACCCGCUGAACUUAA
rnacentral:misc_RNA from 1 species